CCAACAAGCCGCCUUAUCGUUCCCCGCUCAGGCGGGGGGAGGAAAGUCCGGGCAACAGAGGGCAGCGUACUUCCUAACAGGAAGGACCCGAAUAAUAUUGGGUACAGAAAGUGCCACAGAAAACAAACUACCCCGACUCGUUGGGGAAAAGGUGAAAAGGUGAGGUAAGAGCUCACCGGCCUGAUGGUGACAUCAGGUGCUUGGUAAACCUUACGCGUUGAAAAGUCAAAUAGGCCCCGAUCCUGAGCUGCUCGUUCAAUUUCAGCAUUCGCUGGAAUAUCGGGGUGGGUAGACUGAUUGAUCUCGUCAGCGAUGGCGAGACCAGAUAAAUGAUAAGGGCUCUAACUCGUUGGAGUACAGAACCCGGCUUACAGGCUUGCUAUUUUA
rnacentral:RNase_P_RNA from 1 species